AAUCAUAAUUGCUUGUGUGAUGAAUUUUUACAGCUCAGAAAUACACUUCAACUCGGGCCCGCAAUUAAUAAGCAUUAAAAAGUGGCUUUCAAAUACACCUGUUUCAGCCAGAACCACGGGUUGCUAUUGGUCGUUUAAGGCGCCGUCUAAAGUCUAUUUAUAAUUGAAAGUUGUGGAAGGCCUGGCAAAAGGAACAUACUAGCGUUUGACGGACCAAGUGUACUGAGCUAUCAAACAGUGUUACCAUGGGCAAGURGUGAUUAGUGUUGUAUAUCCACUAAAGACAGUUCUCUUCAAGAAUCAAUUUUGUUGUGACCAUCAUCAAACCAUGAAUUUAUCAAGCGUUGUCUUUGAAAUCUCGUUCCUUCUGAUGCUGUACAAGUCGAAUGCACAAUGUCCUGUCAGAUUUCGACCUCCAGAGGGAAAGUGUCUAAUAGGAUGUCUUUUUGAUUCGGAUUGCGAACCAAGAGAAAUUUGCUGUACGUCAGGGUGUUACAAUU